rnacentral:rRNA from 1 species
AUGCAGGGUUACAGCUUUGUUCUUCUUGGGAAGUUGCAAACUGGGAAGUGGAAUAUGUACCGAUCUGCACAAUCACCUCUGUAUUUGAUCAACAGAUUUGCUGCUAUGCUAGAUAUUGGAAUGAUACUUGAUACUUUUGUGAAAGAAUACUUGCAAUCUCUUGGACAUGUGAACUUCUGUAUUCAUCUUAGUUUGGUCAUAUAA